rnacentral:rRNA from 1 species
UACGUAGGGUGCAAGCGUUGUCCGGAAUUAUUGGGCGUAAAGAGCUUGUAGGCGGUUUGUCGCGUCUGCUGUGAAAUUUCGGGGCUCAACCCCGAACUUGCAGUGGGUACGGGCAGACUAGAGUGUGGUAGGGGAGACUGGAAUUCCUGGUGUAGCGGUGGAAUGCGCAGAUAUCAGGAGGAACACCGAUGGCGAAGGCAGGUCUCUGGGCCAUUACUGACACUGAGAAGCGAAAGCAUGGGGAGCGAACAGG